rnacentral:tRNA from 1 species
GUCCGAGUGGCGGAAUUGGUAGACGCGCAAGGUUGAGGGCCUUGUGGGCGCAAGCCUGUGGGGGUUCAAAUCCCCCCUCGGACA